GGGAGGCAGCAGUAGGGAAUAUUGGGCAAUGGUCGAGAGACUGACCCAGCCAUGCCGCGUGCAGGAAGACGGCCUUAUGGGUUGUAAACUGCUUUUAUACAGGGGUAAUACCGUCUACGUGUAGGCGGAUGAAAGUACUGUAAGAAUAAGGAUCGGCUAACUCCGUGCCAGCAGCCGCGGUAAUACGGAGGAUCCAAGCGUUAUCCGGAUUUAUUGGGUUUAAAGGGUGCGCAGGCUGAUGUAUAAGUCAGCGGUGAAAUCUCUCGGCUUAACCGAGGAACUGCCGUUGAUACUGUAUGUCUAGAGUUUAGACGGCGUAGGCGGAAUAUGUCAAGUAGCGGUGAAAUGCUUAGAUAUGACAUAGAACACCGAUAGGGUAGCCAGCUUACGAGGCUAAUACUGACGCUCAAGCACGAAAGCGUGGGGAUCAAACAGGAUUAGAUACCCUGGUAGUCCACGCAGUAAACGAUGAUCACUCGUUGUCGGCGAUAUAAUGCCGGUGGCCAAGCGAAAGUGAUAAGUGAUCCACCUGGGGAGUACGUUCGCAAGUAUGAAACUCAAAGGAAUUGACGGGGGCCCGCACAAGCGGAGGAGCAUGUGGUUUAAUUCGAUGAUACGCGAGGAACCUUACCUAGACUUGAACGUAUUUGGAAUGAAGUGGAAACAUUUCAGCCAGCAAUGGCCAUUUACGAGGUGCUGCAUGGUUGUCGUCAGCUCGUGCCGUGAGGUGUUAGGUUAAGUCCUGCAACGAGCGCAACCCUUACCGUUAGUUACCAGCAUGUAGUGAUGGGGACUCUAGCGGAACUGCCGGCGCAAGCCGUGAGGAAGGUGGGGAUGACGUCAAAUCAGCACGGCCCUUACGUCUAGGGCGACACACGUGCUACAAUGGAUGGUACAGAGGGCUGCUACCCUGCGAAGGGAUGCUAAUCUCGAAAGCCAUUCUCAGUUCGGAUUGGAGUCUGCAACCCGACUCCAUGAAGUUGGAUUCGCUAGUAAUCGCGCAUCAGCCAUGGCGCGGUGAAUACGUUCCCGGGC
rnacentral:rRNA from 1 species